rnacentral:rRNA from 1 species
AAUAUUGCACAAUGGGCGAAAGCCUGAUGCAGCAACGCCGCGUGAGCGAUGAAGGCUUUCGAGUCGUAAAGCUCUGUCCUAAGGGAAGAUAAUGACGGUCCCGUAGGAGGAAGCCCCGGCUAACUACGUGCCACAAGCCGCGGUAAUACGUACGGGGCAAGCGUUAUCCGGAAUCAUUGGGCGUAAAGGGUGCGUAGGCGGCCCUAUGGGUCAGAGGUUAAAGGCUACGGCUCAACCGUAGUAAGCCUUUGAAACUGUAGGGCUUGAGUGCAGGAGAGGAGAGUGGAAUUCCUAGUGUAGCGGUGAAAUGCGUAGAUAUUAGGAGGAACACCAGUGGCGAAGGCGACUCUCUGGACUGCAACUGACGCUGAGGCACGAAAGCGUGGGUAGCGAACAGG